rnacentral:rRNA from 1 species
AUUGAACGCUGGCGGCAUGCCUUACACAUGCAAGUCGAACGGCAGCAUGAUCUAGCUUGCUAGAUUGAUGGCGAGUGGCGAACGGGUGAGUAAUACAUCGGAACGUGCCCUGUAGUGGGGGGUAACUAGUCGAAAGAUUAGCUAAUACCGCAUACGACCUGAGGGUGAAAGUGGGGGACCGCAAGGCCUCAUGCUAUAGGAGCGGCCGAUGUCUGAUUAGCUAGUUGGUGAGGUAAAGGCUCACCAAGGCGACGAUCAGUAGCUGGUCUGAGAGGACGAUCAGCCACACUGGGACUGAGACACGGCCCAGACUCCUACGGGAGGCAGCAGUGGGGAAUUUUGGACAAUGGGCGAAAGCCUGAUCCAGCAAUGCCGCGUGUGUGAAGAAGGCCUUCGGGUUGUAAAGCACUUUUGUCCGGAAAGAAAUGGCUCUGGUUAAUACCUGGGGUCGAUGACGGUACCGGAAGAAUAAGGACCGGCUAACUACGUG